rnacentral:lncRNA from 1 species
GAUGAUGGAUGGAUGGAUGAUGGAUGAUGGAUGGAUGAUGAUGGAUGGAUGGAUGAUGGAUGAUGGAAUGGAUGAUGGAUGGAUGAUGGAUGGAUGAUGGAUGGAUGGAUGGAUGGAUGGAUGGAUGGAUGGAUGGAUGAUGGAGGGAUGGAUGAUGGAUGGAUGGAUGAUGGAUGAUGGAUGGAUGAUGGAUGAUGGAUGAUGGACAGAGACAAAUGGAUGAUGGAUGGAUAUACAGACAGACAGACACACAGACAGAUUGAUGGAUGGAUGGAUGAUGGACGGAUGGAUGGAUGGACAGAGAGAUGGACAGAUGGAUGGAUGACGGAUGAUGGAUGGAUCUGUGGAUGAAUGAUGGAUGAUGGACAGACAGACGGAUGGACAGACGGACGGGCGGACGGAAUAAACCCCGGUGUGUCUCGGGGCGUUUGGGGGCUCCCCUCUGCAGCGGGGUGGGGCCGGCUCCACGGGGGGUGCUGGGGUUGAUUUAGGAUCACUGGGGAUGGGAUUAUGGGGUUAUGACCACGCCUGGUGACAGUUCCCAUCUCCACGGGGGUGAUUUUGGGUUGAUUUGUUGGUUUUGGGAAGCCCCGGGGGGGUCACAGGGGCAGCAGGGACCCGAAUUUGGGACAUUUCCCAUCCUUUUCUUCCACUUCCAGCUCCAGGGCUCGGGGUUUUGCCCAGGUUUGGAGCCCUGAGCGAGGCUUCCCCGCCACUUUUGGGAUUCUGGGGGAACUGGAAAGGAAUCCGAGUUAAACUUGAAUUUUUUCCCUUUAUUUUUGAACUGUGAACCCGUAGCGCAGCUUUGGGGUUUUUUUGGGGGGUUUUUUUUGCUGUUUCCCUAUUGCUGUCGUGUCUUUGAGGUCUGAUGAAGUUUUCCCACCUCCCCCCAGGGGAAGCACUGAGGGUUUAACCGUUUCAUUUUUGUUUUAACACCCAAACCGUGGAGCUGAAGACCCGAGCCUGGAGCAGCUUUAGCUGGAUUCCCAUUCCCAAAAUCCACAUUUCAGUGUUUUAAGGGCUUAACUCCGGCCAGCAGGAACCAUUUAAUUCUCAUUUUAGACGGGCAGAGGAAGGAAAACCUUUGAGUAUUGCUGGCUUUGUGCCCCCCAGGACAGGAGUUUGUGCCGGGGGUGCUGCCUGGACCCCCCCAGCCCCAGCUGGGAGCCCCCAAAAGCCAUUUCUGCAUUUCCUGCAGGGCAGGGGGAGCUCCCAGGCUGGAAACUUCCCCCAAAUCCGGGGGCUGGAAGAGGGUGGGGGGCACUUCCCAGUUCUCCCAGUUCUCCCAGUUGAGUUGCUCACCCCCCCUCUGCUAUGCACACCCCUCCCACCACUUUUGUACUAGUCUUGUGUUUAAAAAAAAACAAAAAGUAAUAAACUUGAAGUUUAUACAAUCA